UACAGAGGUCUCAAGCGUUGUUCGGAAUCACUGGGCGUAAAGGGUGCGUAGGCGGCUUGAAAAGUUGGGGGUGAAAGCCCGGAGCUCAACUCCGGAAUUGCCUUCAAAACUCUUAAGCUAGAGUUCGGAAGAGGAGAGUGGAAUUCCCAGUGUAGAGGUGAAAUUCGUAGAUAUUGGGAAGAACACCAGUGGCGAAGGCGGCUCUCUGGUCCGAUACUGACGCUGAGGUGCGAAAGCGUGGGGAGCAAACAGGAUUAGAUACCCCUGUAGU
rnacentral:rRNA from 1 species